rnacentral:rRNA from 1 species
GAUGAACGCUGGCGGCGUGCCUAAUACAUGCAAGUCGAGCGAACAGACGAGGAGCUUGCUCCUCUGACGUUAGCGGCGGACGGGUGAGUAACACGUGGAUAACCUACCUAUAAGACUGGGAUAACUUCGGGAAACCGGAGCUAAUACCGGAUAAUAUAUUGAACCGCAUGGUUCAAUAGUGAAAGACGGUUUUGCUGUCACUUAUAGAUGGAUCCGCGCCGCAGUAGCUAGUUGGUAAGGUAACGGCUUACCAAGGCAACGAUGCGUAGCCGACCAGAGAGGGUGAUCGGCCACACUGGAACUGAGACACGGUCCAGACUCCUACGGGAGGCAGCAGUAGGGAAUCUUCCGCAAUGGGCGAAAGCUUGACGGAGCAACGCCGCGUGAGUGAUGAAGGUCUUCGGAUCGUAAAACUCUGUUAUUAGGGAAGAACAAAUGUGUAAGUAACUAUGCACGUCUUGACGGUACCUAAUCAGAAAGCCACGGCUAACUACGUG